AAGUCGUAACAAGGUUUCCGUAGGUGAACCUGCGGAAGGAUCAUUAACACGUAUCCAACGUUAAACAACCCUGUGAACUUUCAACCCCGCCGGAAUGAGAUUAAUUUCCAACUCCGGCGAAGACAAGUGACCUGGCACCUGACCUCAUCAAAGCUCUGACAGCAGGGUGACGCAGUAACGAUCGCUGGAGGCCCACACGGCCGGCGACCGGGUCAGCGGCAUUCUUUAAUGCCCCUUAAAACCACUUAACAUGACGACAGUUCCUCUUUAACUUGAGUUGAGCUAUAACAAAAAACUAAUACAACUGUUAACAAUGGAUAUCUUGGUUCUC
rnacentral:misc_RNA from 1 species